CCUACGGGGGGCUGCAGUGGGGAAUAUUGGACAAUGGGCGAAAGCCUGAUCCAGCCAUGCCGCGUGUGUGAAGAAGGCCUUCGGGUUGUAAAGCACUUUCAGUGGGGAAGAAAGCCUUGGGGCUAAUACCCUCGAGGAAGGACAUCACCCACAGAAGAAGCACCGGCUAACUCCGUGCCAGCAGCCGCGGUAAUACGGAGGGUGCGAGCGUUAAUCGGAAUUACUGGGCGUAAAGCGCGCGUAGGCGGUCUGAUAAGCCGGUUGUGAAAGCCCCGGGCUCAACCUGGGAACGGCAUCCGGAACCGUCAGGCUAGAGUGCAGGAGAGGAAGGUAGAAUUCCCGGUGUAGCGGUGAAAUGCGUAGAGAUCGGGAGGAAUACCAGUGGCGAAGGCGGCCUUCUGGACUGACACUGACGCUGAGGUGCGAAAGCGUGGGUAGCAAACAGGAUUAGAUACCCGGGUAGUC
rnacentral:rRNA from 1 species